UCAUUUAUUCAAGUGACGUCUCCAGCUGAAGUUGAUAAAGGUGAAGUAUUUUUAUUAAAAUGAAUAUAAUCAAUAUUUUAAAAAGAAUUACAUAUUGCUUGCUUAAUGUUGUAAACCAGAAAUACAGUUGCAAGCUAUGGAGUUUUUCAUUAUAUGUGCUUAAUGACAUUAUUUAAAAUUUUACCUUUGGCCAUGAUUUUUCAAAAAGAUAAAUUUUAUAUCAAUAUUAUAAUGGAUAGGGGGCAUGCAUGUCUUAUUAAAAUAAUAGAUAUAUGUCAUGUAUGUCUUUUGCUCCCAACUUUCAUUCUUCAACUGAAAUAAAAAAAGAAAGAUGUGGUAUGAUUGUGACCACUCUGUACAAGAGACUAAAAUGACACAGAUUUAAACAACUAUAGGUCACUGUACAACCUUCAACAAUGACAAAAACAUAUACCGCAUAGUCAGUAAUAAAAGGCCCCAAAAUGACAAUGUAAAAUAAUUCAAGCAAGAAAACUUACGGCC
rnacentral:lncRNA from 1 species